CUGACAUUCAAACAGUUGUGUUUCCAUAAUGACAGCCCGCAAGCCGCCAUAAAAAAAAAAAUCAGAAGUGACGAGCCGCGAAGACAAACAAAGCCCGGCGCCCUAAUUCCCCGGGAGAGAAAAAAAAGGCAGUGGAGUGAAGGCAAGUUAAAAAUGUCUGAGACCUGCAACCUUCUAAUUGUCCUCAUGGGAGCCACCCGGCAGGCGCCAGACAACAUUGUUGUAUUUGGGAACUGAGACAACGCUGAUAUUGUCUAGCAUUGGAUCCACGUUGUUAAUUGGCAAAUAAACAAAUUUCAAUUUUAGAUCAACAACACCCGGAUAUUGACUAAAUGUCGUUAAGAAAAAAAAGAAUGUUGUUUCAACGUUGUAUUUGUGUUGUGAAGUAUCGGUUGGGAAAUGAACACAUUUUAAUUUGAGAUCAACAACACCCGGACAUUGAUUAAAUGUCCAAAAAAAAAAAGCAUGUUCUUUUAACAUUGUAUUUGUGUUGUGAAAUAUUGGUUGGGAAAUGAACAACAUUCGACAGUCCAACCCAACAUUGAUUAAACGGCAUCAAAAACUAUGUUGUUUCAAUGUUGUACUUGUUUGUAAAAAAAAAUGGUUGGAAAAAUGACCAAAUAUCAA